ensembl:lncRNA novel transcript
UUUUGGAAGAGUCCCUAUUCUGUACAGCCACGCACUGAGGCAAGAGCACAAGGAAACAAGCAGAAGGAAUUCAGAGAAACAGCUCCAGGCUCCAGCUCAAAGGCCGACACCAAAAGCGAACACCUCUGGGCGCUCUUGCCUUCAAGAAGGUGGGGAGGCUCACAGACGCAGCAUCCACCCCUCGCAGGGAACCUCAGUUCCUGGCCUGUGGUCCCAUGAAGGACAUCAGGCUGGCAGAUUGGAGCACACCCCUUCUUUCUAACCCCUCUUGAAAGCUUCC